rnacentral:rRNA from 1 species
GACGAACGCUGGCGGCGUGCUUAACACAUGCAAGUCGAACGGAAAGACCCUGCUUUUGUGGGGUGCUCGAGUGGCGAACGGGUGAGUAACACGUGAGUAACCUGCCCUUGACUUUGGGAUAACUUCAGGAAACUGGGGCUAAUACCGGAUAGGAUCUCCUGCUGCAUGGUGGGGGUUGGAAAGUUUCGGCGGUUGGGGAUGGACUCGCGGCUUAUCAGCUUGUUGGUGGGGUAGUGGCAUACCAAGGCUUUGACGGGUAGCCGGCCUGAGAGGGUGACCGGCCACAUUAGGCCUGAGAUACGGCACAGACUCCAACGGGAGGCAGCGGUGGAGAAUAUUGCACAGUGGGCGGAAGGCUGAUGCAGCAAAGCCGCGUGCGGGAUGACGGCCUUCGGGUUGUGAACCAAUUUCGCCUGUGACGAAGCGUGAGUGACGGUAAUGGGUAAAGAAGCACCGGCUAACUACGUG